GAAUUUAGAGCAUGUACUAGUUACAGCUUGACCCCCACUUUCUAACACUGUGCAUUUUUUGGCGGAAAAAGUUUGAAAGGCCUUGAUUUCAUCAUCUUGACUGAUUAAUUCCUUAUCUGCGGCUCACUUUUAAACAUUAGUAUAAGUAUGUAAAGAAAUAUCGAAAUAAAAAAAAACUUUCAACAACGGAUCUCUUGGCUCU
rnacentral:misc_RNA from 1 species